rfam:Nicotiana sylvestris Nsyl_contig9540, whole genome shotgun sequence.
UGACCCUGGGUCAGGCGGGACUACUCGAUGAAUUUAAGCAUAUCAACUAGCGGAGGAAAAGAAACUUAUAAGGAUUCCCUAGUAACGGCGAGCGAAUAGGGAAUAGCACAACCUUAGAAUCGGGCGGCUCCAUCGUCCGAAUUAUAGUCUGGAGAAACAUCCUCAGCAGCGGACCGGGCCCAAGUCCCCUGGAAGGGGACACUAAAGAGGGUGAGAGCCCUAUUGUGCUAGGACCCUGUCGCACUACGAGGCGUUGUCUAUGAGUCGGGUUGUUUGAGAAUGCAGCCCAAAUUGGGUGGUUAAUUCCGUCCCAGGCUAAAUACGGGCGAGAGACCGAUAGCGAACAAGUACCGCGAGGGAAAGAUGAAAAGGACUUUGAAAAGAGACUCAAAGAGUGAUUGAAAUUGUUGGGAGGGAAGUGGAUUGGGGCCAGUGAUGUGCCUCGGUCGGAUGUGGAACGAUGUUAUGCCGGUGUGCCGAUCAACUCGGGGAGUGAAUCAACGUUGAUUAGGGGCGGCCAAAGCCCGGGCUUUUGAUAUGCUCGUGGAACGUCAUCUCCUUGAUUGUAGAAGGCAACAUGCACCUCUAUCAUGCUUCGUCAUAUGCAUGCUCCGGACGCUGGUCUGUGGGCUCCCUAUUCGACCCAUCUUGAAACACGGACAAAGGAGUCUAACAUGUGUGUGAGUCAAUGGGUGAGUAAACCCACAAGGCAUAAGGAAUCUGAUUGGUGGGAUCCCCCUGAGGGGUGCACCGCUGAUCGACCUUGAUCUUCUGUGAAGGGUUUGAGUGUUACCAUACCUGUCGUGACCCGAAAGAUCGUGAACUAUGCCUGAGCGGGGCGAAGCCAUAGGAAACUCUGGUGGAGGCCCGUAGCGAUACUAAUGUGAAAAUCGUCCGUCUAACUUAGGUAUAGGGGCAAAAGACUAAUCGAACUGUCUAGUAGCAGGUUCAGUUUCCCUCAGGAUAGCUGGAGCUCGCGUGCGAGUUCUAUCGGGUAAAGCUAAUGAUUUGAGGCAUCGGGGGUGCAAUGCCCUCGACCUAUUCUAAAACUUUAAAUAAGUAGGAUGGCGCAAUUGCUUUAUUGAGCUACGCCACGGAAUCAAGAGCUCGAAGUGGGCAAUAUUUUGUAAGUAGAACUGGCGAUGUGGGAUGAAUCGGAAGCAGGGUUACAGUGAUAAAAUGCGCACUAACCUAGAUCCCACAAAAGGGUGUUGGUCGAUUAAGACAGCAGGACAGUGGUCAUGGAAGUCGAAAUCCGCUAAGGACUAUGUAUCAACUUACUUGCCAAAUCAACUAGCCCCGAAAAUGGAUGGCUCUUAAUCACGCGACCUACACCCGGCUGUCAGGCAAGUGCUAGGCCCCGAUGAGUCGGAUGGAGCGACGAUCUCUUCAAAACCUUGGGCGUGAGCCUGGGUGGAGCGGCUGUCAGUGCAGAUCUUGGUGGUAGUAGCAAAUAUUCAAAUGAGAACUUUGAAAGCCGAAUAGGGGAAAGGUUCUAUGUGAACGGCACUUGCACUUGGGUUAGUCGAUCUUAAGGGUUGGGGAAACCCUGAUAUAUAGCGCGUUUCACGCGUACUCUUAAAGGGAAUUAGGGACAUGGCGGUUGACGACAACGUUAGAAAGUCCGGAUUUGUCGGCGGGGUCCUAAAGAAGAGUUAUCUUUUUUGUUUAAUAGCAUGCCCACCCUGGAAAUAACUCAGUUGGAGGUAGGGUCCAGCGGCUGGAAGAUGACCGCACAUCCAGUGGUGUCCGGUGCGCCCACGACGGCCCUUGAAAAUCUGAAGGACCGAGUGUCGUCCAUGCUCGAUCGUACUCAUAACCGCAUCAGGUUUCCGAGGUGAACAACCUCUAGUCGAUGGAACAAUGUAGGCAAGGGAAGUCGGAAAAAUGGAUCUGUAACUUUGGGAAAAGGAUUGGCUCUAAGGGCUUGGCAUGUGGGUCCUAGUCCCGCACCCGUCAGCUGUCGGUGGACUACUUGAGCUGCUCCCGCGGCGAAAGUGGGUCGCCGCGUGCCGGCUGGGGGACGAACUGGGACCGGUUCAUUCGGGGGCCUUUCCCGGACGUUAAACAGCCAACUCAAAACUAGUACGGACAAGGGGAAUCCGACUGUUUAAUUAAAACAAAGCAUUGCGAUGGUCCCUACGGAUGUUUAUGUAAUGUGAUUUCUGUCUAGUGCUCUGAAUAUCAAAGUGACGAAAUUCAACUAAGUACGGGUAAAUGGCGGGAGUAACUAUGACUCUCUUAAGGUAGCCAAAUUCCUCAUCAUCUAAUUAGUGACGCGCAUGAAUGGAUUAACAAGAUUCCCACUAUCUUUGUCUACUAUCUAGCGAAACCAUAGCCAAGGGAAUGGGUUUGGCAGAAUCAGCGGGGAAAGAAGACACUAUUGAUCUUGACUCUAGUCCGACUUUGUGAAAUGACUUGAGAGUUGUAGUAUAAGUGGGAGCGGAAAGGUAAAAGUGGAAUACCACUACUUUUAACGUUAUUUUACUUAUUCCGUGAAUUGGAAGCGGGGCACUGCCCCUUUUUUUGGACCCAAGGCUUGCUUGCAGGCCGAUUCGGGCUGAAGACAUUGUUAGUUGGGGAGUUUGGCUAGGGCGGCACAUCUAUUAAAAGGCAACGCAGGUGUCAUAAGAUGAGCUCAACGAGAACAGAAAGCUCGUGUGGAACAGAAGGGUAAAAGCUCGUUUGAUUCUAAUUUCCAAUACGAAUACGAAUCGUGAAAGCGUGGACUAACGAUCUUUUGGACCUCUGAAAUUCGAAGCUAGAGGUGUCAAAAAAGUUACCACAUGGAUAACUAGCUUGUGGCAGCCAAGUGUUUAUAGCGACGUUGCUUUUUGAUCCUUCGAUGUCAGCUCUUCCUAUCAUUGUGAAGCAAAAUUCACCAAGUAUUGGAUUGUUCACCCACCAAUAGGGAACGUGAGCUGGGUUUAGAUCGUCGUGAGACAGGUUAGUUUUACCCUACUGAUGACAGUAUCACAAUAGUAAUUCAACCUAGUAUGAGAGGAACAAUUGAUACAAUUGGUCAUUGCGCUUGGUUAAAAAGCUAGUGGCGUGAAGCUACCAUGCACUGGAUUAUGACUGAACGCCUCUAAGUUAGAAUCCGGGCUAGAAGAGACUCAUGCGCUCGCCGUCCUCUUGUCGACCCGUAGUAGGGGCCUUUGUCCCCCAAGGGCAUAUAUUGUUGUCUAGGUCAUCGCGGCGGAAAAGCCGCGGUGGCCGCCUUGAAGUAUAAUUUCCAUCGAGUGGCGGGUAGAAUCCUUUACAGAUGACCUAAAUACGCGACGAGGUAUUGUAAGUGGCAGAGUAGCCUUGCUACCACAAUCCACUAAGAUUCAUCCCUUUGUCGCUAUAAUUCGU